rnacentral:rRNA from 1 species
AUCUAUAGAGGCGUUUUCCGUGCCGGCCCAUGUACAAGUCCCUUGGAACAGGGCGUCAUAGAGGGUGAGAAUCCCGUUCUUGACAUGGACUCCCGGUGCUCUGUGAUACGCUUUCAAAGAGUCGAGUUGUUUGGGAAUGCAGCUCAAAAUGGGUGGUGAAUUCCAUCUAAAGCUAAGUAUUGGCGAGAGACCGAUAGCGAACAAGUACCGUGAGGGAAAGAUGAAAAGCACUUUGGAAAGAGAGUUAAACAGUAUGUGAAAUUGUUGAAAGGGAAACGAUUGAAGUCAAUCAUGUCCUUGAGGGGUAACCCUCUUGGAUGGGGUCAACAUCAGUUUUGAUCGCCGGAUAAGGUCAGGAGCAAGGUAGCACUCUCGGGUGAACUUAUAGGCUCUUGUCGCAUACGGUGGUUGAGACUGAGGACUGCUAUUUACAGGAUGUUGACAUAAUGGCUUUAAACGACCCGUCUUGAA